rnacentral:rRNA from 1 species
UACGGAGGGAUCUAGCGUUGUUCGGAAUUACUGGGCGUAAAGCGCGCGUAGGCGGCUUUGUAAGUUAGAGUUGAAAGCCCGGAGCUCAACUCCGGAACUGCCUUUAAAACUGCAUCGCUUGAAUCCAGGAGAGGUGAGUGGAAUUCCGAGUGUAGAGGUGAAAUUCGUAGAUAUUCGGAAGAACACCAGUGGCGAAGGCGGCUCACUGGACUGGUAUUGACGCUGAGGUGCGAAAGCGUGGGGAGCAAACAGG